rnacentral:misc_RNA from 1 species
ACAAACUUGGUCAUUUAGAGGAAGUAAAAGUCGUAACAAGGUUUCCGUAGGUGAACCUGCGGAAGGAUCAUUAAUGAGUUGUAAUAGGGUUUGAUGCUGGCGUCUGAUUUUUGGAUGCAUGUGCUCGCCCUAGCAAAUCAUCUUCCAAACACCCGUGCACAUUUUUUUGAGGGAGUUCGCAGUUGAUUGCCAAAUUUCUGGUGAUUUUUUGUGCAUUCCUUUGAAUUCAUUAAUACUAUACACUGUUAAUAAUGCCGAAUGUUCUGUGUGCCGCAAGGCCUUAAUAUAAUACAACUUUUAACAACGGAUCUCUUGGCUCUCGCAUCGAUGAAGAACGCAGC